CUGCAUCGGCAGGCGGAUUCUCAACCACUGCGCCACCAGGGAAGCCCAACAUGCUACAUUUAAAAAGGAGUUCUCAGGGCUGCCAAUCUUACAGUAGAGGUUGAGUAGUAGUAUAUUUCUCCUACAUUA